CACCUCUAGCAUAACUAGUAUUAGAGGCACUGCCUGCCCAGUGACAAUCGUUAAACGGCCGCGGUAUCUUGACCGUGCAAAGGUAGCAUAAUCACUUGUUCUCUAAAUAAGGACUUGUAUGAACGGCCACACGAGGGUUUUACUGUCUCUUACUCCUAAUCAGUGAAAUUGACCUCCCCGUGAAGAGGCGGGGAUAACACAAUAAGACGAGAAGACCCUAUGGAGCUUUAAUUAAUCAACUCAAAAAGCAUAAAAUAAUACCACCAAGGGAUAAUAGAGCUUUACAUGAGCUGACAAUUUCGGUUGGGGUGACCUCGGAGUAUAAAAAACCCUCCGAGUGAUCAAAACUUAGGCCUACUAGCCAAAGUAUAGUAUCACAUAUUGAUCCAAAAUUUUGAUCAACGGAACAAGUUACCCUAGGGAUAACAGCGCAAUCCUAUUCUAGAGUCCAUAUCGACAAUAGGGUUUACGACCUCGAUGUUGGAUCAGGACAUCCUAAUGGUGCAGCAGCUAUUAAGGGUUCGUUUGUUCAACGAUUAAAGUCCU
rnacentral:rRNA from 1 species